rnacentral:lncRNA from 1 species
AGGAGGAGAAGGGGAGGGAGAAGAAAUGAAAUCGGCAAAGGAAGAUCUUACCUGGAGGUUUGGUAAGGAAGCCUGGGAGGUUGAAGCGGGGCCGAUCCCGUCUGUCCUCGGAUGAAUGGGGGCUUGGGUGAAGUGAAGGUGCCUCGAAUUUGAAAUCAUUCCAAGUUUUUGAAGGGAAGCCGGACUGCAGCCUCUGCCAUGUUGGAAUUUCAAACCCAAAACAGCUGCUUUGCAAACGAGCCAGCAUGCCAGCCGCUGAACGCCUGCGCAGAGCGCCGCCGAGCCAAAUUUAAAUCACUUUCACACUAAGAGCCAAAGAUCAGUUUUCAACCAAAAAGAAGAAGAAGAAGAAGAAGAAGGAGAGGAGGAGAGGAAGGAGGGAGGGGGGCCGGCUGGUUGGUUGGCUGGUGUUGGGGUGGGAGAAGAGAGGAGCUGCUCGACUCGAGAGGAAGAUCAUCCGCCGCCGACGCGCGCGCCACAUUCACGGGCAAGCCGGCGAGCGAGAGAGGAACUCAAUGGCCGCGCGCGCUUGCUAGUUGCUACCGCCGCAGCCCCCGCCGCCGCCGCCGCCAGCACCGCCGCCGCCGCGCCACCACCACCAGGCCCCUGGCUACCCAGGUCAGGUUACAGAGCAGGGGCCGCCGCCGCUUGCAAGGAGCCACGCUAACGCUGCUGCUGCUGCUGCCUGGAGCUGGAGGUGGCCGCGAGGUCAUGAUAGAGCAGCCGCCAAGCUCCGCCGCCCCUUCUGCGGCCGCCGGGGGGAAGAAGAAGUAGGGAACUUGGGGAGUUGCUGCGAUCCCCGCCACGCCGCCCGAGCUCCUCCUCGCCGCCUCUGCCUCCCGCAGCAGCCGCAGAAAGAGUUCGCCGAGCCGCGCGGGCACUUUCCCCCCGGCAGCCCGGGGAGCCCCAUAUUCCCGAUCCCGGCCGGUCGGCCGCGGUCCGCGCGCCCCCCUCCUGCCCGCCCCCCCCGGCAAAAGCAGCGCCGGCAGUGCUCGGCGUCUCAGGCUUCCUGUCCCCCCCCCCCCCCCCCCCCCCCCUCCCCCUUUUUUGAGAGAAGCAGCAGCGGUAGCAAUCGCCGCGGCGGCAGUGGCGCCACCGGCAGCUCUCCUCCUGCUCCGACCCGUAGCAGCGCGGCGGCGGCGGCCGUCAAUGGCUCUGCCUGUGUCCGGUGCAGCCCGCUCGCCGUAGAGACUCAUUGGGUAGCCUGUGGGACGCCGUAUGGGGCGAACUGCUCCCGAGAAGCCCGAGCCCGGAGGGGGCUGCAGGCCGAGAGCGCCCGCGCAUUUACUUGGGAGUCAAAAAGUGACACCGCGCGCGUCCCAUUGUGCUUCCUCCCCAUCCAGGCAGGGAAGUCAUGCAAUCAGAGAAGCAGGAGAUAUUCCCUACACCACAUCAAAUUGUUUGUUCAUCAGGUGCAAGGCUACAUUGCUGUAGCUGGAGUGUCUUUCCACUAUUUCAAGUAGAGGUCUUCUCACAAUCAACUUCCUCACUGUGAACUAUAGUUUGCACCAUCUUUUGAUCAUACUAAUUGGGACUGAGAGGAGCAGAUGUCUAACAACACAAGGACUAUGCCACUUUUUUACAGGAGAAAUUAGGCUGACCCUGGGACUUUCUCCUAGGUUUCCAUUCCUAGCAAAAAGCAUAGGCAGAACUCUGUAGAACUGAACCACUGCCUAGUUAAUACAUCAUGCUGUUCCCGUAGUGCCUAACCAAAUGCUUACCUAGAAAUUAUGCAGGCAGAACGUGUAAGCAACAGCAAUNAUUCUUGGGAUGCUUGACAUCUGCCAGUUUGACACUGUGAGGCUGGAUGUAACAGAUCACUUUUGGUGCAGUGGGGGACAGAAUGAGGCCCUUUCCUCACAGGACACUGUCCCAUGAUAGGAAGGAGUUCAGACGCCCCCCUCCUGCACACUAAUAUGGAUUACGGAGGCCCUGCUCCCUCCUAACAUGCUCAGUCCACACAGAACAGAGCUUAGUCUGGGCUAGGGUGCCCAAAAUGGUGCCCUAGUCCAGUGUACCNGUAGACUUUCACAUUGAGGUCUAUUGACAUGCUAGUGGUGGUAUAUCAGACCACAGAGGCGUAUUUAAGAACCAAGUGACUGCCAGCUAAAAUAUACAAUAUAAUGGGGAGUCUGGAAGUCUGGUCUCUUCAAGAUCUUUGUAUUCAUCAGGAAAAUGAUUUGACCAUUCUGUUUUUCCUGGAAAAAUGAUUGAAGCUGGUGCCCACCAAACAACUAUGUUUUAGGUCCUCUCAAUGUCAAGAAACUGCUCCAUAGAUGAUGCCAUGCACCAUUGUUGCUCUCCAAAAUGAUAAAAAGUUUUCACCUUGUUGCAGGCACCAAUGUUUUGAAACCAGGACUUACAUCAAUCAGUGGUGGAGUUGUACUGAUAUUUUUAAUUUUUGGCAUGAUAUUCAGAUCCAAAUAAAUGCCAUAAUGGACAUGUCUUUCA